UACGUAGGGGGCUAGCGUUGUCCGGAAUCAUUGGGCGUAAAGAGCGUGUAGGCGGUCCGGUAAGUCCGCUGUGAAAGUCGGGGGCUCAACCCUCGAAUGCCGGUGGAUACUGUCGGGCUAGAGUGCGGAAGAGGCGAGUGGAAUUCCUGGUGUAGCGGUGAAAGUGCGCAGAUAUCAGGAGGAACACCGGUGGCGAAGGCGGGUCUCUGGGCCGAUACUGACGCUGAGGAGCGAAAGCGUGGGGAGCGAACAGG
rnacentral:rRNA from 1 species